CCUACGGGUGGCAGCAGUGGGGAAUAUUGGACAAUGGGGGGAACCCUGAUCCAGUGACGCCGCGUGAGUGAAGAAGUAUUUCUGUAUGUAAAGCUCUAUCAGCAGGGAAGCAAGAAAUGACGGUACCUGGCUCAGACGCCCCGGCUAACUACGUGCCCGCAGCCGCGGUAAUACGUAGGGGGCAAGCUUUAUCCGGAUUUAAGGGGUGUAAAGGGAGCGUAGACGGCGAUGCAAGUCUGAAGUGAAAGGCGGGGGCCCAACCGCUGGACUGCUUUUGACACUGGAUGGCUGGAGUGCAGGAGAGGUAAGUGGAAUUCCUAGUGUAGCGGUGAAAUGCGUAGAUAUUAGGAGGACCACCAGUGGCGAAGGCGGCUUACUGGACUGUAACUGACGUUGAGGCUCGAAAGCGUGGGGAGCAAACAGGAUUAGAUACCCGGGUAGUC
rnacentral:rRNA from 1 species